CGCAAAGUUGACGGGACUAGAAGAGUC
rnacentral:sRNA from 1 species